UACGUAGGGUGCGAGCGUUGUCCGGAUUUAUUGGGCGUAAAGAGCUUGUAGGCGGUUUGUCGCGUCUGCUGUGAAAUUUCGGGGCUCAACCCCCGAACUUGCAGUGGGUACGGGGCAGACUAGAGUGUGGUAGGGGGAGACUGGAAAUUCCUGGUGUAGCGGUGAAAAUGCGCAGAUAUCAGGAGGAACACCGGUGGCGAAGG
rnacentral:rRNA from 1 species